CGGGGGGCAGCAGUGGGGAAUAUUGGACAAUGGGGGAAACCCUGAUCCAGCAAUGCCGCGUGAGUGAAGAAGGCCUUCGGGUUGUAAAGCUCUUUCGCCUGUGAAGAUAAUGACGGUAACAGGAUAAGAAGUCCCGGCUAACUCCGUGCCAGCAGCCGCGGUAAGACGGAGGGGACUAGCGUUGUUCGGAAUGACUGGGCGUAAAGGGUGCGUAGGCGGCUCUUUAAGUAAGGCGUGAAAGCCCCGAGCUUAACUUGGGAAUUGCGUUUUAAACUGAAGGGCUUGAGGACGGAAGAGGAAGGCGGAAUUCCUAGUGUAGGGGUGAAAUCCGUAGAUAUUAGGAAGAACACCAGAGGCGAAGGCGGCCUUCUGGUCCGUCACUGACGCUGAGGCACGAUAGCGUGGGGAGCAAAAAGGAUUAGAUACCCGAGU
rnacentral:rRNA from 1 species